rnacentral:siRNA from 1 species
ACACCAAGAACCGGUCAUGCCUA